GGUAAUGUGGCUUAAUGGUAAAGUGCUUACCUAGCAUAUAUGAAGCCCUGGGUUCAAUUCCUCAGUAUCA
rfam:Dipodomys ordii contig_34662, whole genome shotgun sequence.